GUCCCCGGCCUGCCUCCCCUCUACCCCCGCGGCCGGGUCGGGUCGGGGGAGGCCGUGCUGUCCCGCCGGGCGGGAACCCCGGGGCGCCGGGGAGUGCUGCUCUGAGGUGACUGUGGGAAAGAGCCCCCCCCCCCCCCCCCGCCCCCAGCCUGCCCUGUUCGCUGGGACCCGGCGUGAACGACGGGAAUCUUUAUGUGAAUGCGUUACAGGACUUCUGUAAGGCUCCGGCGGACUUCGUGGGCAGCGGCCCGAGGCCUGUGAGGCUGCUGGGCAGGGGGCAGGGAGAGGGGCCUGCCAGGCUGUGGCAUGGCUGGGCUGUCCCUGCGCCCCAGAGGUGGUCUUGGUUGCGCUGGGCCUAGAAGAAACAGGCGUUUGCGUGACAGACGCGUUGCCAAUUUUCACAAGUGGAUUUAAGCCUCUGCUCACCGCCUUUGAAUAAUCCUCUGUGGCAGCACGGAGAGCUACUAUUUCUUCUUUUCUGCCCAGGUUGGUGUGGGCAGAAGUGCGCUCCAGCCCUUCCUUUCGUCCCUACCCCACAGUCUGGCUUCUGCGCAAAGGCAGUGGAGGCGUGCUGGCUGAACAGGGGUCAUAGCACACACCGUCGUCUCCCUCGGAUGCAUGAGCACACGCUACCAGGGAAAACCACCUUGGAAAAAAAUGGACUCUCUCUCUCCCAAAACAAGGCACACAAACUCACUCGUUACUUUCGAAAAUGCAGACUCCACUCUUCAUGCUGACUUUGUAUUACUACACUUCAUUUACUGUUUCAGUAGCAGUAGAUGAUGUUUAUUCUUCCUACUUUUACUUUGUAUAUGUACUCUGAUCUUACAGCCAGGUCACUUUCUCCUCAUUUCACAACUUCUCUCUGCAAUAGGGUUUAUAAGGUAUCAUAGAGAAUUUAAAAUUUUCUCCAUCAAAAUUUUGCACGUUUGCAGUUGUUAAUGUUCUGCUGUAAUGUUUGUUCUCAUUGAUGACUUAAAGAUUUAUACACCCAGAAGUCACUGUCAUCAUGAAUAUAUAUAUAUAUAAUAUGAAUCAGGUUACAUGGCUCGUUUCAGGUUAGGCUAGUUUCAUGGGCAGUCUCUGUGGCUUUUGGGAACUCUCCCUCCUGGAGGAGGAAUGAAGUCUGACUUGAAAGGUGGGGAUUGUUUCAGAGAAAGAAACUGGUUUCAGAUGUGCCGUAUGUGUAUAUUUUACGGUGGUUACUGUAAACAAUUAAAGGGUUAAAUUUCUCAUUGUCCCCUUCUAUCAUAUUCCAUAUGCUUUGACGCACAAACCCACAUGGCACAGGUGUGAGGCAAACAGGGCAAGUCAACAUAGCCCACACCUUUUUCGGCUCCUGAUUUCCAUUUCCUUCUUUUUCCCUCAGCUCUUCGGUUACUAGUUUGUUUAAAUUACAUUCUCUGCAGGGCAGGACAAGGAAUUUCAUUAUCUCUGUAAAAUAUUUAGCACUUUAACUUGACUAAAAUAAAAUAUAGCUAUAGUCUGAAGUACAGUAUCAAAGAGAUUAAUGAGCUCAAUAACUGCAAGAGAAGCAGCAGUGGUUUUGUGAGGAACUGGAUCCUCUGUCUCAGGUCUCCCAAGGGGCUAGAAGGUUAAUUAAACCCUGCCUCAUUGUUAUAACACUAAAUCCUAAAAUAUGAUGUCAGUCUUCGGUUCCCUACUGGGACAACCCUUGUUGAAAUUCUUUCAAAUAUUUAAGAAGUAGGAAAAAGGAAGGAAAGCAGUUAAAUUGUAUCCCUAAUUGCCUUAUGUUUUGAUGGAAAGUCCACUUCAGUAGGAAAUCCACAUUUGAAAAUCUUCCUGCUGAGUUUGAAGAUGAUAUCAGCUGUCCUAUUUUGGGGAGGCAGAGAGGGAAAAGAAGACAAACAGAAAGAGAAUGGUGUUGAGGAGGGGAAAUGAUCCCCAGCAGGCAAGGCUGUGGUAGGAGGAAAAUAAAAUUCCUAUGCCGGGUUUUGAUCAGGAUGAAGACAAAACCAGCAGUGUCCACAAUGUAAUUGGUUCCUUCGCUCCAGUUUUGUCUGACUGCCUGAUAGCCUUUAAGAUAAUGGAGGCCCAGGAGUAUCAUGGUAGAUGCUAGGAUCCCAGGAUUUGCUAUCAGUAGCAGUCAUGAAUGUAAAAUUCCUUGUUCUCUCUAAUCCACAUAUCCCACUGCUCCCAUUUGAUGACAUCCAAAUAAAGAUAUUUUCAUGAA